rnacentral:rRNA from 1 species
UACGGGGGGGGCAAGCGUUGUUCGGAAUUACUGGGCGUAAAGGGCUCGUAGGCGGCCAACUAAGUCAGACGUGAAAUCCCUCGGCUUAACCGGGGAACUGCAUCUGAUACUGGAUGGCUUGAAUUCGGGAGAGGGAUGCGGAAUUCCAGGUGUAGCGGUGAAAUGCGUAGAUAUCUGGAGGAACACCGGUGGCGAAGGCGGCAUCCUGGACCGACAUUGACGCUGAGGCGCGAAAGCUAGGGGAGCAAACGGG